UGAAGUAUACAAAUUUUAUUAAAAUAUGUAAACAUAUAAAAAAUGCAUUUUACAUUUCAGGAGAUGAUCAUAUUUAGAUCUGUGCCAUCUUAGAUCACCACCAAUUUACACAUUGCAAGCCCAUUAUCAUUUGUCUCCAUGUUUUAUUCAAAAGAGUUUUGUUUUGUUUAGCAAAUAAGAACAAAAAUCUGAUUUGAUGGUGAGAAAUUUAUGACAUGAAUUUCAAUUUGCCUGCGCCACCCCUACAAUCAAACCCAUUUGGUUUAAUUACCAAGAAUCCAAAUAUACUGGUAUUUUUAUUUGUGUUUUCGUGUGGGGAUUAACGAAAAAUCAUAGUAAAAGAGUAGCCACAUAAGCGAAACAGAAAUUGAUCAAAUGAAAAGAAUAGGGAAUCUGUGAGCGAGUCGAUGAAUGAGAGCAAGGGAGGGAGUGAGUGAGAGAGAUAGGCAGAAGGAACUUGCUGCCCCUGGUUGGUGUUGUGUAAGAGUUGGCUGGCUGUAGCAGAAUAACACUCUUAUUCUCUCCAUGCUUUGAACUCUGGUACCCUACAGCUCUCCGACCACCCCUCUCUGCAACAGCAGGAACUCACACUGAGGUGCCCUUCUCUCUCUCUCUACCUCUCUCUCUUUUUCUCUAUCUAUUUCCCUCUCCCCUUUCCUGCUGUGUCGCACUUCUCUUUCUCUUCCCAUAAGUCGUAGUUCUCUGCUCCCUUUCUCAUUUGUCUUUCACUUUCUCCAACAUGUGGUUGUCUGCUUCUGAUGCACGGCACAGCAGGAAACUUGAUGUUUUUCUCAAGACCUCUUCAUCUGUACAAGACAUAUGGUGGAAAUGGGACAAGUCUUUUUCAAACCUGGGUUUCAGCAAUUCUUAUGUUCAGCCAGAUACUCCGCUGCUGACAUCGAAUAAUAUUUUCCACUUGAAUAAAACAGUGUCUUCAUAACUCAUCAUCACCAAACCGCUCGACACUGACUGGAUCAGGACGGGUCAAGCAGCUGGAGGCAAGGAAAUCUGACCUUUUGUUCAAAGCAGUUCACAUGGUCAAUGCUACAAGAUUAGUGACCUAUAAAUAUGCAAUAUAUCAUACUCAAUUCAUGCCAUAAUAUUUUAUAUCGCUACCACAAACCACUCAAAUCUAGAUUCAGAUUCCUUAUGUUCGCUGCAGUUCCAACAUUUUUUGGACCACAGUAUAUUUCGGCUGGUGUGAUAAUGCGUUUAGCUAUGUUUGAAUGUGUUUAAGAUCACUCAGCAGUUUCAAGAUGGCCAAAAACAGUCUGCAGAUUCUGUCUGGACCUGCUUAUGACUCCUGGCCCGAUUUUAUGGUAUUAAUACUGAGGUCUGAUUUCAUUGAGGUCUUUUUUUCUGAAUGAUAAGUGUAUGCGGUGGGGAAAGAACCUGUCAGUGUUUGUGAAUUUUCCUGCCGCUGCUUACUGGCGGUUUCACACUUCACACAGCAGACAUGUGGUUUAGCAUUUUUUUACGAUGAGUAGUACAGCGUGUUCCUUAAAACACGCGCUACUCCAAUCACAGAUGCAUACGUGCGACCCCCAUGAGGAAGUGAAUCUAUUGACGAGGCAAACAUGGUACAGACUGAUCUAGAAGCGUUUUUGCCAUCUUCCUGCCACUCACCUCAUUUAUUGCUUGCGCACGUUGCAUGUUUGCUUACAUUGUGUACUGUUGUGGCUUUAAACCACAAUUUGUUCUAUUAUCAUUUGCAUUGUAAACAAUCGUCACGUUUGUUUAUGCAUGCUACAUGCUAAAAGAAUAAUCAACAGGUUUGCCAGAAAAAUCCGUUUUCCUACUUUCCAAUCCAACUUCCUUGUUUAAAAAUGAUUUGUGAAAGAUUAGGAUGUUUUGUAAACUUCUGCUAAUGUGCAUGCAGGGCCUAAAACAUUUUAGCACAUUUUCCAGUGGCUUGAACUUUUAAAAAUUUAAGUAUUUUUUAA